AUUGAACGCUGGCGGCAGGCCUAAUACAUGCAAGUCGAACGAGUGGCGGACGGGUGAGUAAUGUCUGGGAAACUGCCUGAUGGAGCGGGAUAAGUACUGGAAACGGUAGCUAAUACCGCAUACAAUCAGAUCUGACGAGAUGGGUUUAGCUGGUUGGUGGGGUAACGGCUCACCAAGGCGACGAUGCCUAGCAGGUCUGAGAGGAUGACCGGCCACACUGGAACUGAGACACGGUCCAGACUCCUACGGGAGGCAGCAGUGGGGAAUAUUCGGCAAUGGGCGCAAGCCUGAUGCAGCCAUGCCGCGUGAAUGAAGAAGGCCUUCGGGUUGUAAAAUCCUUUCAUCGGGGAGGCGGUACCCAAAUAGAAAGCACCGGCUAACUCCGUGCCAGCAGCCGCGGUAAUUC
rnacentral:rRNA from 1 species